AGUGCUGCCCACUCAGGGUGGGUCUUCUCACGUCAGUUAACGCGACGUAGAAAAUCGAUUCCAGACGUGCCCAGGAACUUGUCUCCUAGUGAGAAGCAGGCUGUCUAAACUCUUGUAGGCCAGCCCUUCGAUCUGCUAAUGGUCUGGACUUCUAGCCAGCAGAUACUGAGACAUACACGACAACUAUUUAAGCCACCUAGCCACUAAAGCUUUAGAGCUGCCUGGAUCAAGUCAGAGGCCUAAGGAGUUCUUGUUCAACGUAGCACAGGACUGGCCAGUGGGAUCUGACCUUUAUUUUGCCUUGCCUCAGCACCUGCGUCUGCCUCAGCUGACAUCACUCUGCCAACAGCCUGAGUCCUUAGAAGUGUCGAGAAGCUGCAGCACACCGCCAGAAGUUUUAACUGGUCUGUCUCUCUCUGUUGGAGUCCCAACAAAUGCAGCUCAACUACACCAGUUUCUAGAGCCAAGAAGUUCCUGCCCAGGUUUAAACCAGUUCUAGUUGGUUUCGUCACUGGCAACCAACAAAGUCUGACUAAGUCCUCAAGUAUACUCUCCUAUCCACGGAUUGAGCAGCCCCGUGUUCACCAAGACAGCCGUCAGAAGGACCAGCAAUUUGGCAGUAGGUAAAGGCAUUUGUCCCCAAAUGUGAUGACCUGAGGUUUGAAGUUGAUUUCGUGUCCACGCAGUGGAAGGAGAGAACCAGCUCUUGUGAGUUGUCCUCUGAUCUCCACAUAUACUGUGGCCUGUGUGUGCUUCACCCCAAUGUACAACAACAACAACAACAACAACACCAACACCAACACCCGAGAAGGAGCAAACACCAGAAACAGUGCCCGGGAAGCAGCUUGCACACCGCCCAGCUCAGCCCUCUUCACUGAGUUUCUCGUCCAGCUCCAUCGUGGACAGAUAUUCAAUACUUCCUUUAGGAGAACACAUACAUUUGUUUGACUUGCAAUAUUGAAUUUGGAGGCCGUUCAGCAAUUUCAAAUUUCAGGAGUGGGGCAGUGGGGAGACACCGUAAAUUAAAAAAUUCUUUCCUCUUCGGUUUCUACCCAA